AGCCUUAAGAAAUUAAUUUAAGGUUAAACCUGCCCAAUGCUUAAAACAAAAUGUUAAUGGCCGCGGUACCUUGACCGUGCUAAGGUAGCGCAAUCAAUUGGCUUUUAAUUGGAGUCAGGAAUGAAUGGAAUAACGUGGUUUUUCUGUCUCUAAUUUAAUUAAUCGAAAUUACUUUGUAAGUGCAAAAGCUUACAUACAGAAAAAGGACGAGAAGACCCUAAGAAUUUUACUUAUUAUAACAAUAUUUACAAUGGUUUAGUUGGGGCAACAUAAGAGCAAAAUUUAUUACUAAUCUCUUCAAUAUAUACUAACCGAUUUUUUUAAAUUUGAACAAAUUACCUUAGGGAUAACAGCAUUAUAUAAAAAAUAAGUUUGUGACCUCGAUGUUGGAUUGGGAAACUAAAAGGUUAGCCAUUUUUUAGGCAAGCUCUGUUCGAGCUAAUAAUUCCC
rnacentral:rRNA from 1 species